rnacentral:rRNA from 1 species
UGGGGAAUAUUGGACAAUGGGCGCAAGCCUGAUCCAGCCAUGCCGCGUGAGUGAUGAAGGUCUUAGGAUUGUAAAGCUCUUUCACCGAUGAAGAUAAUGACGGUAGUCGGAGAAGAAGCCCCGGCUAACUUCGUG